rnacentral:rRNA from 1 species
UGAGGAAUAUUGCGCAAUGGGCGAAAGCCUGACGCAGCGACGCCGCGUGGAGGAUGAAGGUUUUAGGAUUGUAAACUCCUGUUAAGCGGGAAGAAACCUCGAAUUUUAAUAGGAUUCGAGUCUGACGGUACCGCUAAAGAAAGCACCGGCUAACUUCGUGCCAGCAGCCGCGGUAAUACGAGGGGUGCAAGCGUUAUUCGGAAUAACUGGGCGUAAAGGGUGUGUAGACGGUGUAUUAAGCUUGUUGUUAAAUUUUUCGGCCUAACCGGAAACAUGCAGCGAGAACUGGUAUGCUAGAGGGUGGAAGAGAGAAGUGGAAUUCCUGGAGUAGCGGUAAAAUGCGUAGAUCUCAGGAGGAACACCAAUGGCGAAGGCAGCUUCUUAGUCCAUUCCUGACGUUGAGACACGAAAGCGUGGGGAGCAAACAGG